rnacentral:rRNA from 1 species
AGAGUUUGAUCAUGGCUCAGGACGAACGCUGGCGGCGCGCCUCAUACAUGCAAGUCGAGCGAGAACCAGGGCUUGCCCUGGGGACAGCGGCGAACGGGUGCGUAACACGUGAGCAACCUGCCCCGAAGACCGGGACAAGCCGGGGAAACCUGGUCUAAUACCGGAUGUCCUCGGCGGACUGCAUGGUCCGGCGAGGAAAUGGAUUCCGCUUCGGGAUGGGCUCGCGGCCUAUCAGCUUGUUGGUGGGGUAACGGCUCACCAAGGCGACGACGGGUAGCUGGUCUGAGAGGACGAUCAGCCACACUGGGACUGAGACACGGCCCAGACUCCUACGGGAGGCAGCAGUAGGGAAUCUUGCGCAAUGGGCGAAAGCCUGACGCAGCGACGCCGCGUGCGGGAUGAAGGCCUUCGGGUCGUAAACCGCUUUCAGCAGGGACGAAAUUGACGGUACCUGCAGAAGAAGGCCCGGCCAACUACGUGCCAGCAGCCGCGGUGAUACGUAGGGGUCUAGCGUUGUCCGGAAUCAUUGGGCGUAAAGAGCUCGUAGGCGGUUCGGCAAGUCGGAUGUGAAAUCUCCACGCUCAACGUGGAGGGGCCAUUCGAAACUGCCGUGACUCGAGUCCGGUAGGGGAGUGCGGAAUUCCCGGUGUAGCGGUGAAAUGCGCAGAUAUCGGGAGGAACACCAGUGGCGAAGGCGGCACUCUGGGCCGGAACUGACGCUGAGGAGCGAAAGCGUGGGGAGCGAACAGGAUUAGAUACCCUAGUAGUCC